GACGAACGCUGGCGGCGUGCUUAGCACAUGCAAGUCGAGCGGUAAGGCCCUUUCGGGGGUACACGAGCGGCGAACGGGUGAGUAACACGUGGGUGACCUGCCCUCAGCUCUGGGAUAAGCCUGGGAAACCGGGUCUAAUACUGGAUAUGACUCCAUGACGCAUGUUGUGGGGUGGAAAGCCUUGUGCGGCUGAGGAUGGGCCCGCGGCCUAUCAGCUUGUUGGUGGGGUGAUAGCCUACCAAGGCGA
rnacentral:rRNA from 1 species